rnacentral:rRNA from 1 species
GAUGAACGCUGGCGGCGUGCCUAACACAUGCAAGUCGAACGGAGAUUACGGACGGAAGUUUUCGGAUGGAAGACUGUAAUUCUUAGUGGCGGACGGGUGAGUAACGCGUGGGCAACCUGCCCUAUACAGGGGGAUAGCAGCUGGAAACGGCUGGUAAGACCGCAUAAGUCGGCGAGACCGCAUGGUUUUGCCGGGAAAUGAGCAAUCAGGUAUAGGAUGGGCCCGCGUCCGAUUAGCCGGUUGGCAGGGUAAAAGCCUACCAAAGCAACGAUCGGUAGCCGGACUGAGAGGUCGGACGGCCACAUUGGGACUGAGACACGGCCCAAACUCCUACGGGAGGCAGCAGUGGGGGAUAUUGCACAAUGGAGGAAACUCUGAUGCAGCGACGCCGCGUGAGUGAAGAAGUAUUUCGGUAUGUAAAGCUCUAUCAGCAGGGAAGAUGAUGACGGUACCUGACUAAGAAGCCCCGGCUAACUACGUG